AAGACGAUAAGGGAUCGCCGGUCUACCGAGCAAUAUCACCCGCUCGGUGGAAGAUCGUCCCUUAAUCUUCAC
rnacentral:pre_miRNA from 1 species